rnacentral:siRNA from 1 species
CGUACGAGGUCCCCUCACUGGUGG